rnacentral:tRNA from 1 species
CAGAAAAUAGUUUAAUGAAAAUAUUAAUUUUGGAGAUUAAUGAUAAAAUUUUAAUUUUUUUUCUGA